rnacentral:rRNA from 1 species
UACGUAGGGGGCUAGCGUUGUCCGGAUUUAUUGGGCGUAAAGAGCGUGUAGGCGGCCAUGUAGGUCCGGUGUGAAAACUCGAGGCUUAACCUCGAGAUGUCAUCGGAAACCAUUUGGCUAGAGUCCGGAAGAGGAGAGUGGAAUUCCCAGUGUAGCGGUGAAAUGCGUAGAUAUUGGGAGGAACACCAGUGGCGAAGGCGGCUCACUGGACCGGUACUGACGCUGAUGCGCGAAAGCGUGGGGAGCAAACAGG